CCUACGGGUGGCAGCAGUGAGGAAUAUUGGUCAAUGGGCGCGAGCCUGAACCAGCCAAGUAGCGUGAAGGAUGACUGCCCUACGGGUUGUAAACUUCUUUUAUAUGGGAAUAAAGUGAUGCACGUGUGCCUUUUUGUAUGUACUUUAUGAAUAAGGAUCGGCUAACUCCGUGCCAGCAGCCGCGGUAAUACGGAGGGUGCAAGCGUUACUCGGAAUGACUGGGCGUAAAGAGCGCGUAGGCGGGAUAGCAAGUCAGAUGUGAAAUCCUAUGGCUUAACCAUAGAACUGCAUUUGAAACUGUCAUUCUUGAGUACGGUAGAGGUAGGUGGAAUUCGUGGUGUAGGGGUAAAAUCCGUAGAGAUCAAGAGGAAUACUGAUUGCGAAGGCGAUCUGCUAGAACAUAACUGACGCUGAUGCGCGAAAGUGUGGGGAGCAAACAGGAUUAGAUACCCCGGUAGUC
rnacentral:rRNA from 1 species